rnacentral:lncRNA from 1 species
UUUCAAGAGACAAAUGGCUGAUAAAAUAGAGGAUAGAUUUGUAAUAGCUCGUUUCAUAAGGUAUCCAAAAGAAUCAAUGGGAUACUACUUUUACUUUUCACAAGAUCAUAACGUGAUUGUGAGUCAGAACACCAUAUUUUUAAAAAAAUAGUUUAUCCAGGAUGGUGGCAGUGGGAGGUUAGUUGAGCUCGAAAAGAAGG